AACGAACGCUGGCGGCAUGCCUAACACAUGCAAGUCGAACGAGACCUUCGGGUCUAGUGGCGCACGGGUGCGUAACGCGUGGGAACCUGCCCUUAGGUUCGGAAUAACUCCCCGAAAGGGGUGCUAAUACCGGAUAAUGUCUUCGGACCAAAGAUUUAUCGCCUUUGGAUGGGCCCGCGUUGGAUUAGCUAGUUGGUAGGGUAAAAGCCUACCAAGGCGACGAUCCAUAGCUGGUCUGAGAGGAUGAUCAGCCACACUGGGACUAAGACACGGCCCAGACUCCUACGGGAGGCAGCAGUGGGGAAUAGUGGACAAUGGGCGAAAGCCUGAUCCAGCAAUGCCGCGUGAGUGAUGAAGGCCUUAGGGUUGUAAAGCUCUUUUACCCGGGAUGAUAAUGACAGUACCGGGAGAAUAAGCUCCGGCUAACUCCGUG
rnacentral:rRNA from 1 species